UACGUAGGGGCCGAGCGUUGUCCGGAGUUACUGGGCGUAAAGCGCGCGCAGGCGGCUCGUCAAGCCUGACGUGAAAGCCCGGGGCUCAACCCCGGGUCGGCCGUCGAUACUCUCGUGCUUGAGCACUGUAGAGGCAGGUGGAAUUCCGGGUGUAGCGGUGGAAUGCGUAGAGAUCCGGAAGAACACCGGUGGCGAAGGCGGCCUGCUGGGCAGUAGCUGACACUGAGGCGCGACAGCGUGGGGAGCAAACAGG
rnacentral:rRNA from 1 species